ACAGAGACCAGCUGGGACCCCAAAACAUCCCCGGGAACACGGGAACAGAGACCAGCUGGGACCCCAAAACAUCCUCAGGAACGGUGCCCAGCUGGAGCCACACCUGGGAUCCCAUCCCAACAUCCAUGGACACAUUGGAGCAGUGCUCACCUGAACUAAAGGAAUCUCUUCUCCCUGCUCGUGAGACCUCAUCUGUGCAGUCACACUGACCACAUCCACCCAGGAAGUCGGACAUCCUGGCACAGGUACCCACUCCCCAGCCACUGCUGUGCAGAUGAUGCCGAGCAAAGUUGUGACAGAGCUCGGCCGCAGAGAGCAGCAAAUCCGAGAGGGACAAACCUGAGCGAAUGAGAAUCCGGCUCCCCGAAGAGACAUCACCUUAUAUGGGAACAGCACGGACAGGAGCAUGAACGGCCCGGCCGGGCUGCUGAGACUGAGCCCGGGAUUUGGAGGCCGGACCUUGAGAGCUCUGCAGGUUUCCAGCCCCAGCUCCUGUGUGUGCAGUGUCAGUGUGGCCUCACACCUCUCCUGCCCCUGGGCCAGAUGCACACAGCUGGCUCAGAACACGCCGGGCAGCUGCAGCUCUGUGUGACAAGACAGUUGUCUAGGCACUUGUCACAGACUCUGACAGGAGAGGAUGAUGUUAGCAGCUCAGUGAGUACCAGUGUGAAGGAAGUGGCCCACAAAAGCAACAGGAUCUGGGUUACAGCAGAAUACACUGUACCAAUGCAG